rnacentral:rRNA from 1 species
UACGUAGGGUGCGAGCGUUAUCCGGAAUCAUUGGGUUUAAAGGGUCCGUAGGCGGUUUUGUAAGUCAGUGGUGAAAGCCCAUCGCUCAACGGUGGAACGGCCAUUGAUACUGCAAGACUUGAAUUAUUGGGAAGUAACUAGAAUAUGUAGUGUAGCGGUGAAAUGCUUAGAGAUUACAUGGAAUACCAAUUGCGAAGGCAGGUUACUACCAAUAUAUUGACGCUGAUGGACGAAAGCGUGGGGAGCGAACAGG